rnacentral:rRNA from 1 species
AGUGAACGCUGGCGGUAGGCCUAACACAUGCAAGUCGAACGGCAGCACAGUAAGAGCUUGCUCUUACGGGUGGCGAGUGGCGGACGGGUGAGGAAUACAUCGGAAUCUACUUUUUCGUGGGGGAUAACGUAGGGAAACUUACGCUAAUACCGCACGCGACCUACGGGUGAAAGCAGGGGAUCUUCGGACCUUGCGCGAUUGAAUGAGCCGAUGUCGGAUUAGCUAGUUGGCGGGGUAAAGGCCCACCAAGGCGACGAUCCGUAGCUGGUCUGAGAGGAUGAUCAGCCACACUGGAACUGAGACACGGUCCAGACUCCUACGGGAGGCAGCAGUGGGGAAUAUUGGACAAUGGGCGCAAGCCUGAUCCAGCCAUACCGCGUGGGUGAAGAAGGCCUUCGGGUUGUAAAGCCCUUUUGUUGGGAAAGAAAAGCAGCAGGUUAAUACCCCGCUGUUCUGACGGUACCCAAAGAAUAAGCACCGGCUAACUUCGUG